GUUUAAGUAGUUUAACACCAUAAAAUAUCAGUCUUGUAAACUGAAGAAUAGAGGUUAAUCACCUCUCCUAAAC
rnacentral:tRNA from 1 species